GCAAACUUGGUCAUUUAGAGGAAGUAAAAGUCGUAACAAGGUUUCCGUAGGUGAACCUGCGGAAGGAUCAUUAAAGAUAAUCCGGCGCGGUGGCCCGCGGCCCGAACGGGCCUCGGGUGCCCACGCUCACCUUAUCACCCCAUGUGAAAUAUCCUCUAUUUGCUUCGGCAGCACCGCACGGUCCGGUCGGGCCGUCGGGUAAGGCUGCCAGGAGCCCAUACCAAAACCUGUUGAUGAAAUGUCAUGCUGUCUGAUACAUCCACUUGAUUGAGAAAUCAAAUCAUAUUAAAACUUUCAGCAACGGAUCUCUUGGUUCCCGCAUCGAUGAAGAACGCAGC
rnacentral:misc_RNA from 1 species